rnacentral:rRNA from 1 species
CGGAGGGUGCGAGCGUUACUCGGAAUUACUGGGCGUAAAGCGUGCGUAGGUGGUGAGUUAAGUCUGUCGUGAAAGCCCCGGGCUCAACCUGGGAAUGGCGAUGGAUACUGGCUCGCUAGAGUGCGGUAGAGGAGAGUGGAAUUCCCGGUGUAGCAGUGAAAUGCGUAGAGAUCGGGAGGAACAUCAGUUGCGAAGGCGGCUCUCUGGACCAGCACUGACACUGAGGCACGAAAGCGUGGGGAGCAAACAGGAUUAGAUACCCUGGUAGUCCACGCCCUAAACGAUGCGAACUGGACGUUGGGAGCAAUCAGGCUCUCAGUGUCGAAGCUAACGCGUUAAGUUCGCCGCCUGGGGAGUACGGUCGCAAGACUG